CCUACGGGAGGCAGCAGUGGGGAAUAUUGGACAAUGGGGGCAACCCUGAUCCAGCCAUGCCGCGUGUGUGAAGAAGGCCCUCGGGUUGUAAAGCACUUUCAGUGAGGAAGAACGCCUGGUGGUUAAUACCCAUCAGGAAAGACAUCACUCACAGAAGAAGCACCGGCUAACUCCGUGCCAGCAGCCGCGGUAAUACGGAGGGUGCGAGCGUUAAUCGGAAUUACUGGGCGUAAAGCGCGCGUAGGUGGCUUGAUAAGCCGGUUGUGAAAGCCCCGGGCUCAACCUGGGAACGGCAUCCGGAACUGUCAAGCUAGAGUGCAGGAGAGGAAGGUAGAAUUCCCGGUGUAGCGGUGAAAUGCGUAGAGAUCGGGAGAAAUACCAGUGGCGAAGGCGGCCUUCUGGACUGACACUGACACUGAGGUGCGAAAGCGUGGGUAGCAAACAGGAUUAGAUACCCCGGUAGUC
rnacentral:rRNA from 1 species